ensembl:miRNA
UUGGCCAAAAGGUUCGUCAUGAUUUCUCCAUAAAAUGCAAUGAAAAAACCUGAACGAAAUUUUUGGCCAA